CCGGUUCGUUUAUGAUUGGCCGGUCGAGGGUGUCAACGUCACGUCACUGCCAGCUGAUCGGAGUGAGAAGCCGGUUUGAAGAGGGGAGUUGGACCGGAGAGAGAGACCGGGGAAGAGGAGCCCCGAGGAGUAACGAGCAGCACGGGGUGGGACCGAAACACCGGAUACUACGACUGGACCGUUUUCUUUAUUUCAUUUUUUUUUUGUAGAGGUUUAUGCGUAAACACCGGAGUUCACGAGACACGAAGCGACACUCUUUAAGGGUGAUAUUUGGUGGGCUUUGCUUCUCGUCGAAACCUCUGGAGCUGUCAGAGAAAAAGAUUGAGAGUUAAGGUGUGGCUGAGGGUUUCUCUGAAGCUUCAGCUCUGACAAAUAUUACAAAAUCGAUUGUUUCCGCUCGAGAGGACUGAGACUCUUUAAGCUACAAACAGGCUUUAAAGACUGCUCUGUCCUUUUCAUCCAGGAACAUAUUACAUAACAAACGUAUUGCCUUCUUGGUGUGCGCACCUUUUGAUGUAAAUCCCUCGCAGUAGCCUAACUAACAGGACUAUUACGCAGAAUGAAGUAGCCCUACGUCGUGUGAUUUUUUUUUGUAUGUUUUGCAGGUCUGUUUGGUUUCAUAAGUCUGUUAAAUGUAACGGACGUGGCAACUUUACAGUAGCCAGCCCUGCUGAAUGCCACAGGCAAACUGGGCGUGGGGGAAACAGUCCGACCAGAUCUAAAUAAUCCUCAAAUCUGCUCAUAGCACGGCCAAAACCACGCACAUUUGACAUUCGAUAUUUGAAGUGGCUCGAUGGAGUCGAUGGAUUUACCUGAACCAAAGUAAGUGCGACUGUCUAAUACAUUUUUGCAAACUUUUUUUUUUUUUUUUUUAGCGGAGGUGACAUUUAAAGGCUACAGAGGAGAGUGUGCUCCGGCGUUCUCUCAAAUGCAUUUUGUCCUGUUUUAUCGCGUUAUUAAGGUGUAAUGUGCGUACAGACAGAAGUGGCGGAACAAUAUGAUAGGCCACUCGAGGUGUUGUGUCAGUUGGAUGAGGCCUGUAUAAAAUAUGUUCUGUUUGAUGAUACAGUGCGAGAACAUUAAGAAAGGGAAGGGGCGGGUGUGUCUUCACCAAUUCAAGCGCUUGGGCGUUGAAUGCAUAUUGAUCCAGCUAUAGGAAACAGCGCAAUGUAAGAGUUGGGUCAGUAUAACAGCAGAGCGUAAGACUUGUCAAAGAAUAUCGAGGAGUCAUUACUCACUCUUCUGAUGUGUAUAGGCCUAUACCAUUAUAACUCAAAGUGAUAAUUGAGUGCACGGGCAGGCUGACCCUCUAAUUAAGAAAAGCUUAAAGUUGAAGGGAAAGCAGAUAGAGUGAAUUCCUCAAGGCCCCACCCUUUGUAGCGCAACAUGGAUGUAGAGAGUUGCCCCCACCUCCUCCUCCUCCCCCUCCUCUCUCUCUCUCUCUCUCUCUCUCUCUCUCUCUCUCUCUCUCUCUCUCUCUCUCUCUGUCUCUCCCUCCGCGUCAUUCAUUUCCCCUUUCAAGCUUGUCUUCUGCUGUUUCCCCCCUCUCAGAAUCACCAGGUGCCUUCAGCUACUGGAGAUCCUCUCAUCUUUUAACCUACUUUGGAUCUGGAUCGCGUUCAGGAGCUACUUCCAUGAAUCCUCCGAGGUGUUAAUAGGUGGAGAUGUGCCAUGCCCGUGACACCAGACACAGGUGCUGUGUACCUGUGUCUGCCAGCUGCUGUGCCAGCUGUGAAAGGUGAGCAAGCAGAGAGGCAUCUCAGAAGGAGGUGAACAAUCAUCAGCUGCUGAAAACAGAAAGACAGAGUAGCGUCAUUAAAGGAGCACCGAAUCAAACCAAACACCAUCAAUCAUACAACAUUCAUUAUCAUCAUUCAUUAUAUUGCACAUUUUAGAACUUCUUGGUGAGUUGGAAGAGUCCAAAGUUGGAUUCAGGGCUGUAAAGGGCUUCAGUCUUAAAUUGUAAAACAAAUUUAUUAAAUUUGAAGAAAAUAAAAACUGAUUUUGUCUUCA